rnacentral:rRNA from 1 species
UACGUAGGGUGCGAGCGUUAAUCGGAAUUACUGGGCGUAAAGCGUGCGCAGGCGGUUCGUUAUGUCCGAUGUGAAAGCCCCGAGCUUAACUUGGGAAUGGCAUUGGAAACUGUGGUGCUGGAGUGUGGGAGAGGUGCGUGGAAUUCCCGGUGUAGCGGUGAAAUGCGCAGAUAUCAGGAGGAGCACCAAUGGCGAAGGCAGCUCGCUGGGACGUGACUGACGCUGAGACGCGAAAGCGUGGGGAGCAAACAGG